rnacentral:tRNA from 1 species
GGGCGCUUAGCUCAGUUGGUUAGAGCGCUACGUUUACACCGUAGAUGUCGGGGGUUCGAGUCCCUCAGCGCCCA